rnacentral:rRNA from 1 species
CCCGGGUGGAUUAGUGGCGACGGGUGAGUAACACGUGGGCAAUCUGCCCUUCACUUCGGGACAAGCCCUGGAAACGGGGUCUAAUACCGGAUAAUACUUUUCCCCUCAUGGGGGGAAGUUGAAAGCUCCGGCGGUGAAGGAUGAGCCCGCGGCCUAUCAGCUAGUUGGUGGGGUAAUGGCCUACCAAGGCGACGACGGGUAGCCGGCCUGAGAGGGCGACCGGCCACACUGGGACUGAGACACGGCCCAGACUCCUACGGGAGGCAGCAGUGGGGAAUAUUGCACAAUGGGCGAAAGCCUGAUGCAGCGACGCCGCGUGAGGGAUGACGGCCUUCGGGUUGUAAACCUCUUUCAGCAGGGAAGAAGCGCAAGUGACGGUACCUGCAGAAGAAGCACCGGCUAACUACGUGCCAGCAGCCGCGGUAAUACGUAGGGUGCGAGCGUUGUCCGGAAUUAUUGGGCGUAAAGAGCUCGUAGGCGGCUUGUCACGUCGGUUGUGAAAGCCCGGGGCUUAACCCCGGGUCUGCAGUCGAUACGGGCAGGCUAGAGUGUGGUAGGGGAGAUCGGAAUUCCUGGUGUAGCGGUGAAAUGCGCAGAUAUCAGAGGACACCGGUGGCGAAGGCGGAUCUCUGGGUCAUACUGACGCUGAGAGCGAAAGCGUGGGGAGGCGACAGAUAGAUACCUGUAGUCCACGCCGUAAACGGUGGGACUAGUGUGCGACCUCCACGGUCGUCGUGCGCAGCUACGCAUAGGUCCCGCUGGGGAGUACGCCGCCAAGGCUAAAUC